CAAUAGCGUAUAUUAAAGUUGUUGCGGUUAAAAAGCUCGUAGUUGGAUUUCUGCCGAGGACGACCGGUCCGCCCUCUGGGUGAGCAUCUGGGACGGCCUGGGCAUCCUCUUGGGGAACGUAGCUGCACUUGACUGUGUGGUGCGGUAUCCAGGACUUUUACUUUGAGGAAAUUAGAGUGUUUCAAGCAGGCGCACGCCUUGAAUACAUUAGCAUGGAAUAAUAAGAUAGGACCUCGGUUCUAUUUUGUUGGUUUGCGGAUCGAGGUAAUGAUUAAUAGGGAUAGUUGGGGGUAUUCAUAUUUAAUUGUCAGAGGUGAAAUUCUUGGAUUUAUGAAAGAUGAACUUAGGCGAAAGCAUUUACCAAGGAUGUUUUCAUUAAUCAAGAACGAAAGUUAGGGGAUCGAAGACGAUUAGAUACCAU
rnacentral:rRNA from 1 species